rfam:Salmo salar isolate Sally breed double haploid chromosome ssa28, whole genome shotgun sequence.
UGUAUUCACUACUGUAAGUCGCUCUGGAUAAGAGCGUCUACUAAAUGACAUUUU